CUGGUUCCGGAGCUUUAGGUGGUGGUGCCGGGUUUGGAGCUGGGAUUAGGAAGGGUGCUGGCCUCCUAUGGUCAUGAUAACAUGGGCCUCCACUAAUCCCAUGGUAGCAUUCAGCACAACAUGUCCUUCGGUGGACUGGUGCCGGUUUCUCUGGUUCUUUGGGUUUCUCUGGUUCUUUGGGUUUCUCCGGUUCUUUGGGUUUCUCUGGUUCUUUGGGCUUCUCCGGUUCUUUGGGAUUCUCCGGUUGCUUAGGCUUUUCAGGUUCUUUCGGCUUCUCCGGUUCUUUAGGUUUAGAUGGUGGUGCUUUGGGUUUCUCUGGAACCUUGAUCUCAAUGCUCUGGACAGCUUCACCUCCUUUACAGAUUAUCUUUUCCUUGAUCUUUUCAGGACUGCAACAUACCACAGUGAUGGUCACUGUGCCUGCCUUCUUGUCAUAUAUCUGGUUCUGAAUUUCUCUUGUUCACAAUCCACAAAAACAACUUAGCCACUUUCCUUUCAUCUUAAAACUGCUCAAACUAAGUUAUUAUACAUGGAGAAGGAGGCACUCACGAGGGAUUCUACACAGUACUUUCUUGAUUUUCUUGUGGCAUUUCUUACAUUCAAGGUCAACCUUGAUCACCAUUAUUGUGACUUUCUGCAAUACGAGCACAUAAAAACAAGGACAUUCUAAGCCAAGAAGAAUAUUGAAAGGACUGGAACACUUUCUGACAUGGAAGGAUAUUGAUCAGUAAAGAUAAUGAACAAGAAGAUGAGGUCCAUAGGGCCAAAAACAAGGACCACAACACAUAAAAAGAAGAAAAACCCAGAUGAAUGGACUAAAUAAAAGAUAAAUCUAAACCAAUAAAAGAAGAAGAAGGAAAAUGUAUCAAAAUCUCCACAUCCAUCCAUGCACAUACCUUUUCAGCCAUGGUUUUGUCGAAGCUUUGAUCUGGACCUGAUGAGAUGAUAGAAUUGAGAGCAGAGUGAAGGAACAGACCAGAGGGUGAGAGGGAGAUAUAGAGGCUUCUAAAAUUAAGAUUGAUCACAACUUAAGUAGUAGAAGUGUGAGACCAAAGUUUAAAUACCGUGCAUCUAGAGGCCAAUAAGAAGAGAACACAUGGGAUUGGGUGUUGAGCUUGACGUCAUAUUGUCGUUUUCUUUUUUAUUGCUGACCCUCCAAACCUGCGUAUGCAAGCGCUGGCUUUGAUGGACACAUCUCACCUUCAAUUUUGUUAAUCAUUUCGAAGGCUGUUGUGCAUCCUACGGUGCAUUAGUUCAGUCAUGUCAAUAAAUGAGCCAUGCAAACCCCAUGACAACCGUACACGUGUCCCAAAAAAAUUCACCAUAAAAAAUUAAAAAUCUUCAAUUAAUAUUUCCAUAUCUCAUGUUAAAAGAAUUUAGCCGGUGUUUGAUUGUUGUUUCCUGAUAAAAACAUAGAAAACUUGAAUUAUAAAUUUAUUUUAAAAUUAUUACAAAAAACAAUUUUAUUUUAUAUUCUUAUUUUUAUCCUCCGUUCUACACUAACAACACAUAAUUUGAAGAGGUAUUAUAAUUCUAAUUAACGAGCUCCUCUGUUUCAAAAUUUGGAUUUAUAAAGUAACAUAAGAACACAUAUCUCUUUAACAACUUGUCCAAAUUGGAUUAAUUUUUUAUGAUACAUGUAAGGUAAUUAGUUGUAUUUUUUAAUAAAAAGAUAAUUAGAACAAAAAUAAUUAAUAAGUUGUGAUAUUUGUAUUACUCUCUCUUGUAUUUAUAUUUUUUCUAAAAGUACAUCUUAUAAAAUAAUUAAUAAAUUAUUACUAAUUCCCAUCAUCACCAUGGAAUACUUCAUAUAAUCUAAACGACAAAAAUCUGUAUAAUUAUAUAUAUAAUGAUAUGAAAACCAGAAAUUAGAAACCCAAGUCGUUAAGCAAGUAGCUCACCGUUUUAUCUCAUCACUUUAACCAUAAAGGUGCUAGGACAUAAAGAAGAAAGUUAACAAAUUGUGGGCCCAGAAGUUGCGUCCAUGAGUGCCGACUUUGAAAGCUGAGGCAGGUUUAACUAAUCGUUUGAAAUUACGGUCAACUGUAUUUUUUAAAAUUUUAAUUUUUUAAUAUAUAUAUAUAUAUUUGAUUGUUUUGAUAUACUGGUACAAGAAUAAAUCUUGAAAAAUAAAAAUUAUAUGUUUUAUUUUAAUAUAUUUUCAAUAAUGUUAGUGUUUAGAGAGCAACUAAUAUAAAUUUCGUAGUCGGCAACUUUACAUAAUCUCAUAUCAACAAAUCAGGAGAAGGAAGGGAACUGCUCAUUCAUGGUAGAAUUCUUAUCGCCAAGUACGAUGAUGGGAUCAUGACAGUCCACAUUCCAUUAUCUAGAUGGAUCAUGCAUGACCUAAAUUUCUGACAGCGAAGCUUGAUAACGUUUACAAAACAAAAACCAUCGAUCAGUUACUGUCAGAAAUUAAAGAAAGCAAAUGGAAAGUGAAUGGAAGGGAGAUGCUGAGAUGCACCAUCACUGUAUAUACAAAUAGCAAUGAUUAUGGAAGCUUUAAAAUCUCCCUUAUAUUAAUUUAUUAAAAAUCUUAACAUCUCUUGUAAUAAAAUAUUGUGCCCACAUCACCAACCUUAUUGUAUCACAUAAAAUCUCUAAAACGAAGGAAGAAGACCCAAUAUGCAGCCAAAACUGACUAGCUAGACAAGGUUAUGACAUGAGCAUGAGCAAUGCUAUUGUUUAAUUUGAUCAUAUCGACACGAUACUACUGUCCAAAUCCAGUGAUUUUUGGUGGAAAUCGGCUUAAGGCAAUAUCGACAUUCUAGAUGCUUUCACAUGAUUGUGCAUGACGAGGGAUUAUCUUCACAGACAUAUUCACAUCUGCACACAUAGUAACCGCUUCUUUGGCAACCACAGCCGCCGCCGCCGCCGCCACCCCAAUUAUCAUACACUGGCCUUCCAUAAGCUUCAUAACUCGGGGGUGCUGGCCUACCAUAGUCAUGAUAACAUGGGCCUCCACUAAUCCCAUGGUAGCAUUCAGCACAACAUGUCCUUGGGGGGACUGGUUCCGGAGCUUUAGGUGGUGGUGGUGCCGGGUUUGGAGCUGGGUUUGGGGCCGGUUCUUUGGGUUUUGGUGUUUCAACAAUAAGCGCUUUAGGCUUCUCCGGUUCUUUGGGUUUCUCCGGUUCUUUGGGCUUCUCCGGUUCUUUGGGUUUCUCCGGUUCUUUGGGCUUCUCCGGUUCUUUGGGUUUCUCCGGUUCUUUGGGCUUCUCUGGUUCUUUGGGUUUCUCCGGUUCUUUGGGCUUCUCUGGUUGCUUAGGCUUCUCAGGUUCUUUCGGCUUCUCCGGUUCUUUGGGUUUCUCUGGUGCUGCUUUGGGAUUCUCUGGUGCUUUGGGUUUCUCUGGAACCUUGAUCUCAAUGCUCUUGACAGCUUCACCUCCUUUACAGACUAUCUUUUCCUUGAUCUUUUCAGGACUGCAACAUACCACAGUGAUGGUCACUGUGCCUGCCUUCUUGUCAUAUAUCUGGUUCUGAAUUUCUCUUGUUCACAAUCCACAAAAAUUAACCACUUAGCCACUUUCAUUUCAUCUUGAAACAGCUCAAACUAAGUUAUAAUAC
rnacentral:lncRNA from 1 species